AUGCUGACCUUGAGUCUUGAUUUAAUUGUGUGUAACUUAAAAGUAAAGAUUCAAGUUGAGUGUAUUUUUAAAUGGUCCAUUAACUUCAAUGUUAUAUAAGUAAACUGGUCAGCAUUAUUGACUAGUUUUAUAUAUAUUAUAAUACAGUCAAGAACAAAAUUUUUUAGAAACUAAAGUUGGAACAAGUAGAUAAGUCAUUUUAUUUUUAAUACCUACUUUGUGUGACAAACUUGUCUGCAUUUAACCAAUGUAAGAAAAUUAACAAAAGAUAUUUAGAUUUACCUGUCUGCAGGUCAGAAAAGUCCCAGUAAUAAAGUAUAACUAUCAAAUUUAUCUUUUUUAAUACUUUUUUGUGUGUGUUUUGCUUUAUGUGUAUUUUAUAUUUAUAUUAGCUGUUUAUUUGUUGUUUUUUCUAAAAUAACUUUAAGUAUGAACAAAACUAAUUAAAACUUGAGCUGUCACUGUCAA